rnacentral:rRNA from 1 species
CGUAGGGUGCGAGCGUUAAUCGGAAUUACUGGGCGUAAAGCGUGCGCAGGCGGUUUUGUAAGUCUGAUGUGAAAUCCCCGGGCUCAACCUGGGAAUUGCAUUGGAGACUGCAAGGCUAGAAUCUGGCAGAGGGGGGUAGAAUUCCACGUGUAGCAGUGAAAUGCGUAGAUAUGUGGAGGAACACCGAUGGCGAAGGCAGCCCCCUGGGUCAAGAUUGACGCUCAUGCACGAAAGCGUGGGGAGCAAACAGGAUUAGAUACCCUGGUAGUCCACGCCCUAAACGAUGUCUACUAGUUGUCGGGUCUUAAUUGACUUGGUAACGCAGCUAACGCGUGAAGUAGACCGCCUGGGGAGUACGGUCGCAAGAUUAA